UCCCCGAUAGCUCAACGGUAGAGCGAGCGGCUGUUAACCGCUAGGUUGUAGGUUCGAAUCCUACUCGGGGAGC
rnacentral:tRNA from 2 species